CUAACCCACCUUCUUCCCCGCGCCGCCAAUUACCUUCCCAACCCGUGCGCCCCACGGGCAACCUCCUCGGCACACCACAGAGCCCGCACCGCCGGCUAGCCACCGCGCCGCCACUCCCCCACCCCAUCUCCAUCGCCACCGUCCCUCCCAACGCCUACCACCCCCCAAAUCCCGGUGAUGGCCUCCCAACUCAUCCCCUUAUCCAACACUCGCGCGACGGCCUUGCAUCAUUGUUCCCUGCGGCCACGGUUCGAGCUCGCGGUCCCGUCCCCAGUCCGAGUUGCCGCGCGCCUCCUGCCUUCCUCGCCGAGCGGCCACCGACAACCUCCACCUAUGCAUUGGAUUUAUCCUCCCGCAUCGCCGUGGAUCGGGGGAAGAGGAAGGUCGAGGUCGCCAACCGCACCGUCUUCCUCGGGUGCCGGGGAUGCUUCACCGUGCACCCGAUGUGUCCCCAAUGUGGACUGUGUGGGAGCAGGGGGAGGAGGUGCCACGGACUCGCCCUCCCUUCGUCGCGCCCAGCUACGACGUCCACCACCGCCGCUCCAUUGUCCCUUCCUUCGCCUGCCCGUGGAUGCGGCACGAUUCACAUAUCUAGUGCGAAUGGCUCCCAGAAGAAAAACACACCGGCGAGAGAGGCCCACGAGUCGGCUUGUCGAUGGGCGACUGUAUGUUCUUCAACCCGGGUUCUACAGGAUCCGACGGGGGUGCCAGAGUGUGCCGUACGCUGCCGGAGUGUGCAGUAUGCUCGGGCUCCCGACGCGGUUCAGUCCCAGCGGUGCUGCAGUGCGGCCGCACCUGGAGUCCCGUGCCGCCUUGCCGCCGUCUCCAGGCCGCGACGGUCCUCCCGCGACGCCCCGCCACCGGAUCCAGGCCGCGCCCCCCACAACACCCUGGCACCAGCCGCCAUGAGCCUCCUCCACCCCCCUGGACCAGCCCUCCCUCCAGCCUCCUCCUCAGACGGUGUGCUGGAUGGCCGGCUCAUCGCCCUGCUGCCUUCUUCCUUCAGCGUCGGCCUCCGUGGUGCAGUCCGGCGUCCGUGGAACGUGCAGCUCGCUAGCUCGUUGCAUGCGGUUUCGGCAGUGCAGGCAAGCAAUACACGGCCAUGCCCGCGUCCAAGUGGUGCAGAUUGGUGCCUGUGUCCAUGCACUUCGUAGGUGUAUUCGGGAACAAACAACAAAAAAGUUUGGUCUCCGACGAGCGCCUUGGACAUCUCCCGUAUUUCGUUCCUUGCCUGGGUUACCAUUUUAGUUUUGGUCAGUGUUCUGUGCAGUCGACUUCAUGAGCAGUACGCGGGUGGUUCCAUGAGGUGUCGUGCCCUUGUGCGUGCAGUUCGCGUGGCACGGAGAGCCUGUGCAUGCACAAACGUGGCCGCCGGGAGGCGCACAAGGAGGGCGACGACAGCGAAGCCCCCACCUCUAGGAGAUUGAGAAACGAAGGACUUUGCUAGCAAUCUCGUCUACUAAUCCGUGUCAGCAAGAUUUUUAGCAUUAUUUUUUUGCAUGUUCCCCUCGGUUCACUAUUUUGGUUUGGGUAGAAAAAAUGUUAAGUAUAGGGCGGUUCAUAGUUUUCUCUUUUAUAGUGUGCAGCGGUUCAUUUGUCCGUGCACGGCGGUUUGAUCUGUUUUAUUUGAUGUAAAAUAAAGAUAACAGGCAAACAACUAGUAGUUUGUGGUUUAUUUUUUCAUGCUAUAAACUCCUCGCCGUUGGUGGUUGUAACACCCCGGAUGUAACUUACCAUAUUUGUAACUCCAACUCUUGCCAUUUUCGGCUAUGUGUUAUGAUAUUCCCUUCGUGGUC